rnacentral:tRNA from 1 species
CGCUAAGAAGCUAAACAGCGCUAGCCUUUUAAGCUAGAGAUUGGGAAAUCACCUUCCCCUAAGCGA